rnacentral:rRNA from 1 species
UACGUAGGUGGCAAGCGUUGUCCGAAAUUAUUGGGCGUAAAGCGCGCGCAGGCGGUCCUUUAAGUCUGAUGUGAAAUCCCCCGGCUUAACCUGGGAACUGCGUCUGAUACUGGGAGGCUAGAGUAUGGGAGAGGGAUGUAGAAUUCCAGGUGUAGCGGUGAAAUGCGUAGAUAUCUGGAGGAAUACCGGUGGCGAAGGCGGCAUCCUGGACCAUUACUGACGCUGAGGCGCGAAAGCUAGGGGAGCAAACGGG